UACGGAGGGUGCGAGCGUUAUCCGGAUUCACUGGGUUUAAAGGGUGCGUAGGUGGGUUUGUAAGUCAGUGGUGAAAUCUCCAGGCUUAACCUGGAAACUGCCAUUGAUACUAUAGAUCUUGAAUUUUCUGGAGGUAAGCGGAAUAUGUCAUGUAGCGGUGAAAUGCUUAGAUAUGACAUAGAACACCAAUUGCGAAGGCAGCUUGCUACAGGGAUAUUGACACUGAGGCACGAAAAGCGUGGGGAUCAAACAGG
rnacentral:rRNA from 1 species